GCCGGAGUGGUGGAACGGCAGACACGCAGGUCUUAGGAACCUGUGCCUUCGGGCGUGGGGGUUCGAGUCCCCCCUCCGGCA
rnacentral:tRNA from 1 species